AUCCAGUUGAACAGUCUCAAAUAAGACGAAACGUGCAUCAAACUGGAU
rnacentral:hammerhead_ribozyme from 1 species